rnacentral:rRNA from 1 species
UACGUAGGGUCCGAGCGUUGUCCGGAAUUACUGGGCGUAAAGAGCUCGUAGGUGGUUUGUCGCGUUGUUCGUGAAAACUCACAGCUCAACUGUGGGCGUGCGGGCGAUACGGGCCGACUAGAGGUAUGCAGGGGAGAACGGAAUUCCUGGUGUAGCGGUGGAAUGCGCAGAUAUCAGGAGGAACACCGGUGGUGUAGACGGCUUUCUGGACCGACACUGACACUGAGGAGCGAAAGCCAGGGGAGCAAACGGG